GCCCGGGUGGCGGAAUCGGUAGACGCUGCGGACUUAAAAUCCGUUUUCCGAAAGGAAGUGCGAGUUCAAGUCUCGCCCCGGGCACCA
rnacentral:tRNA from 1 species